rnacentral:misc_RNA from 1 species
UCCGAGUUGACCCCGGCAGUCUCCUACGAGUCCCCACCAUUACGUGCUGGCAACAUAGGACAAGGGUUGCGCUCGUUGCGGGACUUAACCCAACAUCUCACGACACGAGCUGACGACAGCCAUGUAGCACCUGUGUUCCGGUUCCCGAAGGCACCCCCGCAUCUCUGCAGGAUUCCGGACAUGUCAAGGGCAGGUAAGGUUCUUCGCGUUGCAUCGAAUUAAACCACAUGCUCCACCGCUUGUGCGGGCCCCCGUCAAUUCCUUUGAGUUUCAGCCUUGCGGCCGUACUCCCCAGGCGGGGCACUUAAUGCGUUAGCUCCGACACCGAAUGCGUCUAUACACCCGGCAUCUAGUGCCCAUCGUUUACGGCGUGGACUAC